CAAGAGAUCUUGAUGUGUUCUGUUGCUGGACCGCUCACGGGCGAAGAAUCUUUGGAUAACACAAACUCCAAUAGCAAAGGUAUUUCGUCUUAACACAGUAGAUUACAGUGAAUAAUGCUUGAGUUUACAGUGCCAUAGCAACUUCCAAUUUAGGAUUAUGUUCUAAGGAUAUGCUCGAUGAAAUUUCAAGUGUUUGAGAUGAUCAGAUUGUGCUUACACGAUGCAAAUUUUAUUAGUUUGGAUAUGGAAUCAUUUUGUGCCUAUUAGCUUCAUUUUAGAGUGCAAGUCUACUUCUCCUCAUAAAAUGCUACUACCUAUUUUGUGCAUUAUGCUUGCUAAUGUUAUUUUAGGUUCGUUGUUGAUCUUGAUCUGAUAAAUGAUUAAAUGAUAAAACUGAAUCUAUAGCUUUUCCUCUCACUAAUAACCCACAUUUUCUUCUCCAUCGUUCUAUAUAUGAUAGGAUACAUCAACAGUACCAAAGCACUUGACUACAUAACACAAAGCCUUUUAUGAUGCUAUUAAUGGUCUACUUAUGAUGAUUUCUGUUAGCUCCAUAUAUAAUGGGAUGUCUUACAGACCGCAGAGUAAAGUUGGGGCUUCUUUGUACUCUUCUUUUCUUGCUUGGUUGCACUUGAGCAUGUUGAUUGUAUUCCAGUUCAUUGAGAAAAAAUGAUACAGUUUGAAUGAAAUUGGGGCCUUUGGUGUACAUAUCAAGACGUUUGCUUCCUAUUAUAUAUUCUGCUCGAUAACUUAUUUGAAGCAACUUCAGUUUAUAUGUAUUAAAAUGCACAAGAAGUCCUAUCGUAUUAAAUUAAAGCAAUGCACACAGAUUACUGCUAAAACUUGGUAUUGCCAAAAGUCAAAACAGUACCCACAUUCAUCCAAUUUAUGAGUAUUAAAAUUAGGAUAUGAUUCAGUGUUAAGCAGGACAAAGAUGGACCAUGCGACCAUCAGUUAAUGCUGGUUCCAAAUCCGCCUCUUAGAGGUAGUUCUUCAGCUAAUUUUUUUUGUUCAGCCGAGGGGAGAGCCGCUGGACAGAGAUCCCACUGAAUGUAGAAGGAAUUGACGUAGUUCAGGCUAAUCAAACGUGAGGUUAGUAGCAUGCAAUCUACUUACUAUCUAGCUAUUACGAUUGGUAAUUAGUGUAGGCUCAUCAAGUGUGAUUCCAUUUAUCUUAUGCAACAUGCAGGCUACUACUAGCUAGCUAUUCUUAUUAGGGAUUACAUGUAAGUUAACACCUUGUGCCUGCAAGUGAGCCUAACUGAUUGUUUGCUAGCUACAUAUAUACUGUAUGACUUAUGUGCACAGUCCGGAUGUUAUGUAUGGGAAAUAAAAUGAAAUGUAGAAUCUAUAGAUAUAUGAAAUCAUGCCUUUUAUUUUAUUUUCCCUUUAUUGCCUGGGAAGCAGUCGUCGGCCAUACAGUUAUGAUUUUGCGAGUCAAAUAACUCUUUGGCUCUGUGUGAUGCUUCUGCACAUCUUUUAAGUUUCUCAGCUCCCUUGAAAUAGACUCCUGUGAGCGACUGCGUAUUAAAAUUGCUUUUGUCUAAUUUACUUGAUUUUGAUAUUUUGGAAUUUGUAGAUUUUUUUUGGGAAAUUAACCAUAUUAAGGUGCAUUGUUUGACAAUUAAUAAGAAUAGUCCUGAAUGAAACAUGACACGACACUCAUGUACUAUCUUGGACAGGCCAGGCUCAUCAAUUUAGCACCAUCUUCAUACAGAAGGAGAGCAAGCACAAAAGAAGCUACAAAACUGAAUGACGUCUUAAUCCCCCGGCGCAGCAAAGCGCGCGUCAGCUUCUAGUUCUCAGUUUAUAUCUGAAAAAUUUCCAGUAGCGUUCCAUAUCUUGGUGACGUGUGUGUCUCAUCUUACAGCACAGAGCAGACUAGCCCAUGCAAGUUGAAGAACAAAGCUCCUUAGGCAGAUUUUUAGCCUGUUUUCUAGGCAGCAUAUAUCCAGUCAUUGCAUCGAUGGCUGUUUGUUUAUGUCUGUGAAGAGAGAUGCGUCGCGCCUACCCGUUU
rnacentral:lncRNA from 1 species